rnacentral:rRNA from 1 species
AAGCUGGCGGCGUGCCUAAUCAUGCAAGUCGAGCGGACGUUUUUGAAGCUUGCUUCAAAACGUUAGCGGCGGACGGGUGAGUAACACGUGGGCAACCUACCUUAUCGUCUGGGAUAACUCCGGGAAACCGGGGCUAAUACCGGAUAAUAUCUAGCACCUCCUGGUGCCGGAUUAAAAGAGGGCUUCUUGCUCUCACGAUGAGAUGGGCCCGCGGCGCAUUAGCUAGUUGGAGAGGUAACGGCUCCCCAAGGCGACGAUGCGUAGCCGACCUGAGAGGGUGAUCGGCCACACUGGGACUGAGACACGGCCCAGACUCCUACGGGAGGCAGCAGUAGGGAAUCUUCCGCAAUGGACGAAAGUCUGACGGAGCAACGCCGCGUGAGUGAUGAAGGGUUUCGGCUCGUAAAGCUCUGUUAUGAGGGAAGAACACGUACCGUUCGAAUAGGGCGGUACCUUGACGGUACCUCAUCAGAAAGCCACGGCUAACUACGUGCCAGCAGCCGCGGUAAU